GAAGCGAAUCUCAGUUUCUCUAAGUCCAGGUGGGAAGGCUCGCCAUCUAUUUCACCGGAGGAAUCCACCUCAGGAACAAUUCAGCAUACAAAAAAACCCCCUGACCUGUCAACAGACUGGGCCAGAAGAGCAAUUCAAAUUCAGACAGCCUGCCCAACCAAUCGAAAUGCACAGGUCCCAGUACGCUUUGGCCAAUGGGAAAGCAGCCUGCCGCUGUAUGUCCCACCCACCUGCUCUGUUUUCACUGCUACGUGUGUGUAGUCGCGUGCUGGCAGGAGAAAAAGAGAGCUGCGCUGCAAAACUUUGAUCCCUGAGAAACUGAAAUUUUGAGCUAGAAAAAGUAUUAGAUAUAAGUUGCUACCAACUGUGCUGCACAUAAGUUCACUGGUUAUCAGCUGCCUUUCAUGUUAAAAGUAGCCAGAGUGAGUAAACAGGCGAAUGCUGCAGUUUUCUGGCGACUUUAGAAAGUACCUCGUGGAGCUAAACUGUUAGCCUUCAUUAGCUCUAGUUGUUAUCAACUGCCUGAAAGUUCAUCUCAAUCUGCUCCCAGAAGUAAGAGCCCUGCAUGUUCCGACCGAGAGACACCAUACCAUUGUCUUCGGCCGUGAUGCACUGACAUCGGUCAGGUUUUUUUGUAUGCUGAAUUGUUCCUGAGGUGGAUUCCUCCGGUGAAAUAGAUGGCGAGCCUUCCCACCUGGACUUAGAGAGACUGAGAUUCGCUUCUUUUCCACUAGAUGAUCUGCUGUACCUUGCGGUGUGGUAGGACUGUAUCACUGACACUUUCACACACAGCUGGUUAUACAUGAGACCACUGACUGACAUUCUCUCACCCCUAUUUUCUUUCACAC